GAUGAACGCUGGCGGCGUGCCUAAUACAUGCAAGUCGAGCGAACAGACGAGGAGCUUGCUCCUCUGACGUUAGCGGCGGACGGGUGAGUAACACGUGGAUAACCUACCUAUAAGACUGGGAUAACUUCGGGAAACCGGAGCUAAUACCGGAGAAUAUAUUGAACCGCAUGGUUCAAUAGUGAAAGACGGCUUUGCUGUCACUUAUAGAUGGAUCCGCGCCGCAUUAGCUAGUUGGUAAGGUAACGGCUUACCAAGGCGACGAUGCGUAGCCGACCUGAGAGGGUGAUCGGCCACACUGGAACUGAGACACGGUCCAGACUCCUACGGGAGGCAGCAGUAGGGAAUCUUCCGCAAUGGGCGAAAGCCUGACGGAGCAACGCCGCGUGAGUGAUGAAGGUCUUCGGAUCGUAAAGCUCUGUUAUUAGGGAAGAACAAAUGUGUAAGUAACUAUGCACGUCUUGACGGUACCUAAUCAGAAAGCCACGGCUAACUACGUG
rnacentral:rRNA from 1 species